rnacentral:rRNA from 1 species
AUUGAACGCUGGCGGCAGGCCUAACACAUGCAAGUCGAGCGAGCGGCGGACGGGUGAGUAAUGUCUGGGUAACUGCCUGAUGGAGGGGGAUAACUACUGGAAACGGUAGCUAAUACCGCAUACCAUCAGAUGUGCCCAGAUGGGAUUAGCUCGUGGGUGGGGUAACGGCCCACCUAGGCGACGAUCCCUAGCUGGUCUGAGAGGAUGACCAGCAACACUGGAACUGAGACAAGGUCCAGACUCCUACGGGAGGCAGCAGUGGGGAAUAUUGCACAAGGGGAGCAAGCCUGAUGCAGCCAUGCCGCGUGGAUGAAGAAGGCCUUCGGGUUGUAAAGCACUUUCAGCGGGGAGGCGUUACCCGAAGAAGAAGCACCGGCUAACUCCGUGCCAGCAGCCGCGGUAAUAC